ACAAGCGAAAAGCUUAAAACUCAAAGGACUUGACGGUGUUCCACACCGACCUAGAGGAGCCUGUCCCAUAAUCGACACCCCACGAUAAACCUUACCACGCCUAGACACUUCAGCCUAUAUACCGCCGUCGUCAGCCUGCCUAAUGAUAGCCUCACAGCAGACAAAACAGUGCUUUCCCCACUAAAACGUCAGGUCAAGGUGUAGCUAAUGGUGUGGUUGACGAUGGGCUACAUUCUCUAACACUAGAGCAUCCACCGUAAGCAAUAUGAAACACAAGCCAAAAGGCGGAUUUAGCAGUAAACACAGCAAGACAAGCUAUAUUGAAUUCUCGCCCUGGAACGCGUACACACCGCCC
rnacentral:rRNA from 1 species